rnacentral:rRNA from 1 species
AGUGAACGCUGGCGGUAGGCCUAACACAUGCAAGUCGAACGGCAGCACAGUAAGAGCUUGCUCUUACGGGUGGCGAGUGGCGGACGGGUGAGGAAUACAUCGGAAUCUACUUUUUCGUGGGGGAUAACGUAGGGAAACUUACGCUAAUACCGCAUACGACCUACGGGUGAAAGCAGGGGAUCUUCGGACCUUGCGCGAUUGAAUGAGCCGAUGUCCGAUUAGCUAGUUGGCGGGGUAAAGGCCCACCAAGGCGACGAUCCGUAGCUGGUCUGAGAGGAUGAUCAGCCACACUGGAACUGAGACACGGUCCAGACUCCUACGGGAGGCAGCAGUGGGGAAUAUUGGACAAUGGGCGCAAGCCUGAUCCAGCCAUACCGCGUGGGUGAAGAAGGCCUUCGGGUUGUAAAGCCCUCUUGUUGGGAAAGAAAAGCAGCAGGUUAAUACCCCGCUGUUCUGACGGUACCCAAAGAAUAAGCACCGGCUAACUUCGUG